GAUGAACGCUGGCGGCGUGCCUAAUACAUGCAAGUCGAGCGAACAGACGAGGAGCUUGCUUCUCUGACGUUAGCGGCGGACGGGUGAGUAACACGUGGAUAACCUACCUAUAAGACUGGGAUAACUUCGGGAAACCGGAGCUAAUACCGGAUAAUAUAUUGAACCGCAUGGUUCAAUAGUGAAAGACGGUUUUGCUGUCACUUAUAGAUGGAUCCGCGCCGCAUUAGCUAGUUGGUAAGGUAACGGCUUACCAAGGCAACGAUGCGUAGCCGACCUGAGAGGGUGAUCGGCCACACUGGAACUGAGACACGGUCCAGACUCCUACGGGAGGCAGCAGUAGGGAAUCUUCCGCAAUGGGCGAAAGCCUGACGGAGCAACGCCGCGUGAGUGAUGAAGGUCUUCGGAUCGUAAAACUCUGUCAUUAGGGAAGAACAAAUGUGUAAGUAACUAUGCACGUCUUGACGGUACCUAAUCAGAAAGCCACGGCUAACUACGU
rnacentral:rRNA from 1 species